GCCUGUGCGGUUUAGUGGUUUGACUAUUGAACUAACGACUCUGGAGACCAGGGUUCAAUUCCCAGCUCGGCCA